AUUGAACGCUGGCGGCAUGCCUAACACAUGCAAGUCGAACGGUAACGCGGGGGCAAGCCCUGGCGACGAGUGGCGGACGGGUGAGUAAUACGUAGGAAUCUGCCCAUUUGUGGGGGAUAACCCGGCGAAAGCCGGGCUAAUACCGCAUACGCUCUACGGAGGAAAGCGGGGGAUCGUAAGACCUCGCGCUAAUGGAUGAGCCUACGUCGGAUUAGCUAGUUGGUAGGGUAACGGCCUACCAAGGCGACGAUCCGUAGCUGGUCUGAGAGGACGAUCAGCCACACUGGGACUGAGACACGGCCCAGACUCCUACGGGAGGCAGCAGUGGGGAAUAUUGGACAAUGGGGGUCAACCCUGAUCCAGCAAUGCCGCGUGUGUGAAGAAGGCCUGCGGGUUGUAAAGCACUUUCAGAGGGGAAGAAAAAGUUCGGAGCUAACACCUCCGAUCUUGACGUUACCCCUAGAAGAAGCACCGGCUAACUCCGUGCCAGCAGCCGCGGUAAUACGGA
rnacentral:rRNA from 1 species